rnacentral:rRNA from 1 species
GAAGACGCUGGCGGCAGGCCUACACAUGCAAGAUUGAACGGUAGCACAGAGGAGCUUGCUCCUUGGGUGACGAGUGGCGGACGGGUGAGUAAUGUCUGGGAAACUGCCCGAUGGAGGGGGAUAACUACUGGAAACGGUAGCUAAUACCGCAUAACGUCGCAAGACCAAAGAGGGGGACCUUCGGGCCUCUUGCCAUCGGAUGUGCCCAGAUGGGAUUAGCUAGUAGGUGGGGUAACGGCUCACCUAGGCGACGAUCCCUAGCUGGUCUGAGAGGAUGACCAGCCACACUGGAACUGAGACACGGUCCAGACUCCUACGGGAGGCAGCAGUGGGGAAUAUUGCACAAUGGGCGCAAGCCUGAUGCAGCCAUGCCGCGUGUAUGAACAACGCCUUCGGGUUGUAAAGUACUUUCAGCGAGGAGGAAGGCGUUGUGGUUAAUAACCGCAGCGAUUGACGUUACUCGCAGAAGAAGCACCGGCUAACUCCGUGCAAGCCCGCCGCGGUA